AAAUGCACAUCUAGUAAACAAAGUCACACACUCAUCAUGAGGAAGACCCGAUAACUCAUAUGGUGCUGGGAUGUUGCCCAUAAUGGAGGCUACUUCCUUACUACAUGUAGUUACCAAGAUUUUGCUUCCAUUGGCACCCGUAAACAAAAUCUCUUUCAAAUGGUUCCAUUUCAUGGAGUUAUCAUUCCACACAUCAUCUAAGAUG
rnacentral:misc_RNA from 1 species